rnacentral:rRNA from 1 species
CCCGCACAAGCGGCGGAGCAUGCGGAUUAAUUCGAUGCAACGCGAAGAACCUUACCAAGGCUUGACAUACACCGGAAACGGCCAGAGAUGGUCGCCCCCUUGUGGUCGGUGUACAGGUGGUGCAUGGUUGAAAACAGCUCGUGUCGUGAGAUGUUGGGUUAAGUCCCGCAACGAGCGCAACCCUCGUUCUAUGUUGCCAGCGGGUCAUGCCGGGGACUCAUAGGAGACUGCCGGGGUCAACUCGGAGGAAGGUGGGGAUGACGUCAAAUCAUCAUGCCCCUUAUGUCUUGGGCUUCACGCAUGCUACAAUGGCCGUACAAAGGGCUGCGGGGCAAAAGGUGGAG